rnacentral:rRNA from 1 species
GAUGAACGCUGGCGGCGUGCCUAAUACAUGCAAGUCGAGCGAACAGACGAGGAGUUUGCUCCUCUGACGGUAGAGGCGGACGGGUGAGUAACAAGUGGAUAACCUACCUAUAAGACUGGGAUAACUUCGGAAAACCGGAGCUAAUACCGGAUAAUAUAUUGAACUGCAUGGUUCAAUAGUGAAAGACGGUUUUGCUGUCACUUAUAGAUGGAUCCGCGCCGCAUUAGCUAGUUGGUAAGGUAACGGCUUACCAAGGCAACGAUGCGUAGCAGACCUGAGAGGGUGAUCGGCGACACUGGAACUGAGACACGGUCCAGACUCCUACGGGAGGCAGCAGUAGGGAAUGUGCCGCAUUGGGCGAAAGCGUGACGGAGCAACGCCGAGUGAGUGAUGAGGGUGUUCGGAUCGUAAAACUCUGUUAUUAGGGAAGAACAAGUGUGUAAGUAGCUAUGCGCGUCGUGACGGUACCUGAUCAGGAAGCCACGGCUAACUACGUG